ensembl:lncRNA
GAGGGGUUGGUCCCUGCAGCUGUGCAUUCACGUGCCAUUAAGGUGACCAGUCAGUUUGUGCAACAUGGAAUAACCAGAAGACGAGAGGGCCACUGCAAGGACUGAGUGGAUGGAUUUUGUGCACCUGCUCCAUGCCCUUGGCCCAGCUCUACUUUCAGCUUCAGCGCUGGAGGACAGCUCCCACGGACACAGGCAGCAUUCUACCUCAAGUACCUGCUCUGUAUCUCCACUUUCACACCUCAGUAUGUUUUUCUGAAGGCACAGGGCAGCCUGGGAGAGCAGAGAAGUUAACAAACUCUGAGGCAACUCUCAAUGGAUAGGAGAUGGGGGCCAGUGAACGAAGACCCCAGCUUCCUGCCCCUCAGAGGGACAAUUCUGAGGUGCAAUGCUGCUCCUGAAAGGGUCACCUAUAGGGUUGAGCCCCAGGUCCCCACAGCAUUAACCAGCUCAGAGCUACUCUUUAGUGAUGGUUACUUUUUUCCUGUCUCACUCCCACUACCCCCUUACUCUUACUUCCGGGGAUUACGUCCCGAGUAAGCUCCCUGCAUCCAAGUCCUCAGAUAUUGCAUUUGAGGGGACCCAAAUUCAGACACUCGAUGACCUUGAGUGUCAGAUGUUUGGAGUACUAAACAUUGGCAAGUGGAAAUAUAGCUGAUUUCUUUCUCCCAUUAUCUUGUUUCUGCUCAUCCACAGUUAAGGGACUAUAAGUGUCAAACUCAGAGGAAGCAAGAAAGUAGGUGGUAGAAGGCCAACCCCAGUGACCUAAUGGUUAAGUUUGGCACACUCAGCUUCAGCGGCCUGGAUUCAGUGCCAGGGCACGGACCUACGUCACUCAUCUGUCAGUGGCCAUGCUGUGGCAGCAGCUCAGCUACAAAAAAAGAGGAAGAUUGGCAGUGGCAAUGGAUGUUAGCUCAGGGUGAAUCUCCCUCAGCAAAAAAAAAAAAAAAAAAAAAAAGGUAGAUGGUAGAAAGAGAUUUUAAUGCUACCUUUAGAGUAGCUAGAGGAAUUAAAAAGUAGGAAAGGCAAGAUCUGGGGCAAAAGCAUAUGAUAGAGAUCAUCACUUUUAUUUGAAUUCUGGAGUAAGUGCUAGCAGCAGCAGUGCUGAGACUUUGCCAACCAUGGGAAAUAUUAAAUUUUAGAUCUUUGCCAGUCAUAUGAGGUUAAGAAUAAUGUUACCAUAUUUAUUGUUUUAAUUCAUGUCUUUAAUAAUUAUAAAUGGAGUAGAGCAUUUUCCCUUGCAUUUAUUAAUUAUUGUUAUUUUUUUCUGUAAGCCGGAUAUUCCACAAAUUAUUUAACAAAUUACGUCGAUGAUAGAUAUUCAGGUCAAUCUUUCUUUUUAACUAUUGUAAGAAAUGCUACAAUAUGGAUAUGAAAAAAUAUUCAAUCUUCCUCUUAACUGGAGUUCAGCAAAUUGAAAGAACAAUGUCAUUUUUCCUAUACAUUUUUGGUGUAAAUAUUGAAAUGUUUGGUAAUACCCCAUGUAUACAGUUUUUGCAGGGAAAUUGGCACUGAGAUUGACAAUGCCAAUUGAUACGUUGUUUUAAAGGACAUGUGAACAGGGGCUGGCCCCGUGGCCAAGUGGUUAAGUCCGCGCGCUCCCCUGCCGGUGGCCCAGUGUUUCAUUGAUUCGAAUCCUGGGCGUGGACAUGGCACUGCUCAUCAAACCACGCUGAGGCAGCAUCCACAUGCCACAACUAGAAGGACCCACAAUGAAGAGUAUACAACUACGUACCAGGGGGCUUUGGGGAGAAAAAGGAUAAAAUAAAAUUUUUAAAGGACAUGUGAACAAUUUCUACCCAAAUUUAAGACGUGCCUAUCCGUUAUUGCAGCAUUUCAAGAAAAUUUGUCCUGCAAAUAUACUCUCAUGAGGUCCUAAAUAUUAUGCUUUAUUGAGUGUUUGUAUGUAUGUAGGUGUGUUUGGGUGUAUGUGUGCAUGCAUGCUAGUCCAUACGUGAAGAAAAGACUAGCCAAGAUGGAGUAAUAAUAAAGAUUUCUGGCUCCUUCCCGAACCUAAUCCUGGAGAUGCUGCAGAGAGAGAGAGAGAGAGAGAGAAAUUCAUGGAUCCUAGAACCUAACUACAACUACAGAAGUAGUUUGGAGAGAGAGAAAGGGGUUGAGUGUUUGCAUGAAAGGGAAAGAGAGGUCCACGUGCCACAGAUGACAGAUAGGCUGGGUGAGAACUUUAGAGUUGGCCCCUCUCUGCUGUUGCAGGGCAAGGAAACAACACUUCAGCCCAGCGCUGGUCUGAGGCAGUUGGAAUAAUAGCAAGGUAGGGCUGGAAUUCUGUGGGGGUUGGUGAGCUGAUGACAAGAACUGCAGGUGAGCUGGCUGGCCUCUAGACAAUCCCAAUAGAGGGGGCUAGCCCAUGGAGAGUGGCAUUGCCUGCAGCCUAGAAUCUGGUCCAUGCUCAGAAGAGGAGAGGGAAAGGGGUGCAAAAGGAAGUGACUGUGAACAAAUUGUUGCCGAGGCUCUCUGACCUGGAGAUCCUCUCCACAACCCACUUUACCAGGAGAAGUACAACCAAGGUCAAGGAUUGUGCACCGACUCCGUCUACUCCCUGACUUUACUCAUCACAGCCAAGAUAUCUCAUGGUUUCAAAGGAAUAUGAGUUCACAGGAAAAAAUAACAGGACACCAAAUUAAAUAACCCAUGCCAGAAGAGGUAGAAAUAACAGAUUGGACAGAAUUUUAAAAAAUUAAAAUAAGGAAAACAAAUACCCUGAGAGAAACAAGCAAAGAUCUUCGGAAUAUAAAAUAAGAAUAAGAAGUUUUGAAGGACCAUUUGGAGAUUUGGGGCAUGAAAAAUGUAUUGUAAAAAAUGAAAAACACGCUGUCAAUAGGUAAGUUGCGCAGCAGAAUGAAUAGAGCUAAAGAACAAAUUAGUGAACUGAAGGAUUCCAUCAAGGAACUCUCCCAGAAAGCAUUUGGGAGGGAUAAAUCUUUGGAAGAAAAGAGAAAAGUUAGUAUUAGAAUUCUAGGAGGAGUCUCAGAUGGAGAAAAAGAGUAAAUGGGGAAUAGGCAGUAAUUUGCCAGAAUUAAAAUGGGAGAUGGUGUUUAGCCAAACGGUCUGGACCCUUGGAGCCCCAAGUUUCUGAGCUGUCACCAAGAGACUCUAAUCCAAAGAGGCACCCAGGUGACAGCGGGAUUCCUGAAGAUAUUCAAACACGGUAAUUUAUUAUUAUUUAUCUACAAGAAACAAACUGUCUUUUGACCUUUCUAUUCCUGCAGGGCUAGUUCUGAGCUAUUGUAAUAGUUUUCAGCACAGAAGAAGAAUGCAGAAGGUGUAGCAAUUUCCAAUUGGAUUCCUUCUGGUCUGAUUUUGAUGGAUAAAGGGGUGCAAAUGAGACACAAGACCCUUGUUAAGCACUAUUCCCCUUGAUCACCCUGUUCAGACACCAAGAAUCUGGGCAGCAGCUGCAGACUUUAACUCUUUUGUUCCCUUGUGCAAUUUCCUUCUGGGCUCUUUUCCUCUUUUCUUAUCUGCUUUCUUUGCUCUUCUUGAUUUUGCCACAUUCUUUCUUCUUUUUUCUUAUGACCUCUCCUGCUGCUUCUUUCUGUAUUCUUCUCUUUCAUCAUUGCCACUUUCCCUUCUUCUUCACUAUUUCCAAAUUUAUUCAUUGAUACAUCCAUCUAUUCAACAAUUAUUUUGGGUACCUACCAUGUUCUAGGCACUAUUGAAGGCACUGGGGACACAGUGAAGAAGAUAGAAGAAAGAUACCUGAACCCACUCUAGUGAGAGGACAGAUAAUAAGCAAGUCAAUGAACAAAAAGAAAAAAGAAAAACCUAGAUACUAAUAAAUGCAAUGAAGAUAGUAGUGUGUGUUAGAGAGUUAUGGUGGGGGGGGGCG